UCUUGCCCGGACACAGAGCGGGGGCGCUUCUUCCUAGUCAGGGCGAUGGCCGUGACGCUGCCCGGAGUAAACGAACGAAGAUAGAUUUUUCAUUCUUUUUGAGAUUGAACCAAAAUCUACUAAAAUGAAUCUCCAGAGUCUUCGAAUUGGACUUUGUCAAAUUUUAAGACUCGAGGAAGGCAGAGGAGACAGCCGCCCCGGGCAGAAAGGGAAAGUCGCCAAUUUUACUUUUUUGGCUUCGCUCCUCACGGCCAGACCUUUCCUCUUUUUUAAACAGAAUUCGGAUUUUGGAACAAAGGAGAGACGAUCACUUGACUUGUUCAACCAAAUAGGAUUUUAGACCUUUAGUCUCCUCUUUUGUUCUGUGUGGACACCAGUUUUGGAUUACUACUGAACGUUCUGGACAGAGGGAAAUAGUUUGCCUAACAAAGAAAAGAUGGUUGGAAGCAUGAUUAAACUAAGAAUAUGAUGAAGUAAGCAAGUACAUGGAGUAUCAAAAGACCAAACAAACAAAAACAUGGUAAGUGGUGAGUACAAACUUUGCAUAGUCAGGGAACAUAAAUAAAUUGAUGACGUCACAGCCAAAAGCUCACAUAAUUCCAUACAAAAUGACAAAAUUGAAAGAAUGAUGAAUGGUCGGUGUGUGACAGUGGGCGAAGUGGACGUAUGUGCAAGAAUGCUUUACAGGAAGGACACUUACCGGUAGAGGUGCCAGAGGAAGAGCGGCAGGAGCGGCAGGAGGAAAACAACCAAGAACCCUGCCAAAGGUGAUCGCUGAGGCCGAAAGACGGGAUGGAAAACAACAGGCCCCACACACACUGAAUUGCCCAUAAUCAGCACCCACCCCCACGGAACCAGCACUCACCAAACCAGCACCCACUCCCAUGGAAUCAAACUCUCCUGCGAACACACCCCAUGACCCAUCAAACUCGGCCCACACUGGCAUGUGCAACUGAAUAUAAGCUGACCAAAGAACCUUGAACGUUGCCUUUUCUGAAUGGAGACUUUCUGCUCUUGAGCAUGCUCGCAUGAUAGGUACUGUAUUGUACUUUCCUGAAAACAGAGCUUUCUUAAGAAUUGGGAUUGAACUCAACCAACCUGUGUGUGUCUAAAAAUCUUUCGGUGUCUUAGCCUUUUCCUAAAACUGAAGAAAUAAAACGAGCACCCGGUGAGUAAAUUGGAUAACAGGUGAUUGCCUAUGGCUUUUGCCGUGAGGCGCGGAUAGCGCGCUUCCCAAAUUGCGGACCAAAUCCAACACCGGAACAGACUCACAACAUUUUAGGAACUUUGGGCGUAUCACCUCGGUGACUUCAACUCUAGAUGUAGGAGGGCUCACCUCAGAAUCCCCAGGCUCUGCUUCCUCAAUGGAAGGUGUGUUGGUGGAAUUGAGGAAGUCUUUGUAUUCUUUCACUGACUCACAAUGUCCCGAGUCAAGGUCAGCCGCAACCCGUCUCCGCUAUACACAGUAUUAACUGUUUUACUGCUCCCUCCCUUCCUGAGUCAAUGGUAAACGAGAAUUUCCUCAAAGCGGUCUGGAAGUCAUUUGUCAUUCACAAUACUUCUUCACUGAAAAUCAAGGCAAUUGUGUUUAUCUAAUUUCUAAAGAGACGGUUGCCUUGUUUAAGGAUUUCAACCUAAAGAGAUGCUAUCAGACUAAACAUCCUAACACAUGCGACAAGCUAACAGGGAGCGACCGCGCUGAUCAAGUGAAGCAGCUCCAAGCUGAACUGGCAUCACAACAGUGAUUCUUCAUGCGGGGCUGUAAGUAAAAAAUAAAUCAAAAGUAAAUAUUACUUAAUAUUAAAUAUUACGAAGUGGCCAUGUUAAUACUGUUGACGUUAUGAACCUGUAGACGUGACACAAACUAUUUCUUUCUGAAAUUUAUUGGAAAUGACAAGAGCAAAAUUCACUUGUUUUAAGUUUUAAUAAUAACAGCCAUUUUUUCAUUACUUAUAACUCCUGUUCAAAAUGUUCACGAGGCAAAAAUAAUUUUAAACUCAUGUAAAUUAAGCGUAUUUCAUACAGUUUGUUCAAUGUUAUCUGACUCUUCAGAUAUAAAUGAAAGGCAGAAUUUGUGUUUUUAGAGUUGUUUACAUCAGCCGAGUGGCAUAUAUGUGGUAGUUUUGUCAUUUAAAAAUAAAGACAAUUGGGACAAUUAAAUUUUGUUUUAUAACAGUGUGUACCAUAAUUUUCGGACUAAAAGUCGCUCUGGAAUAUAGGUCGCAUUAGCCAUAAAAUGCACAAUAACGUGAAAAAAAAACAUAUAUAAGUCGCUCCGGAGCAUAAGUCGCAUUUUGGGGGGAAAUUUAUUCGACAAAAUCCAACACCAAGAACAGACAUGAAUGAGCAACAACAGGUUAAACGAUAGGUAUGCUAACGUGACAUAAACACAAAAGAAGAGUUGAGAACGGGCCUGACGUAACAUUCAGAGUUAUUAAAAAAAACAUUACAUAAAUAACACGUUUAUAAAACCAUCUGUGUCACUCCAAUUCAUUAAAUCCAUCGAUCAUCCUUUGUCAACAAUGGGUGCGCGCCGCUGACGGCGCUUGCACUUCAAAAUAUUCCACAGGCCCAUAAACGAUAUAUAAAAUAGAUAUCAAAUAACUAUUAUAUAAGCAGUCAUAUUAUCAAACCAUCUGUGCACUCUAAAUCAUUAAAUCCAUGGAUCAAAUUCCUCGUCCUUUGUCAACAACGCCGCGCGUGCGACCUGACGUCAGCCUUGACGUUAUUCCACAGAUCUACUACAUAACUAUAUUGUAGCGUUAACAAAGUACAAGGAAAGACGUAGGUUUGGUAAACGGCUCUUUAUUUAACAAAACAAACUUCCAGGCGUGUGGCGGCGUGGACUUCCAGCCACGGAGGUGGAAGAGAGAUCCAUAGAAUAGGACCGGGCGUGCGUAAAAGCCAUAAUGGUUUUUCAAACCUUCUGUAUCACUCCAAAUCCUUAAAUCCUUCAAACUCUUCGUCCUCCGUGUCACUUAGAAACAAAGCCGCUAAUGAUGCCGGUAGUACGUGGGGCCCUUCGUCAUCUUCGUCAUCCUGUGAUCAAUCUUUGUCCUUUUUGUAAACAACCGCCGCGCCACGCCGCGUCGCGCUGCUGACGUCAUUUGAAAUUCAAAUUACAGUAUUCCCUUGCUACAUCGCGGUUAGUUUCUCGCGGUUUCACUUUUUUUUUUAAAUCUUUGAAAAAAACACAUAGAAGUCGCUCCUUAUAAUAAGUCGCCCCCCACCCAAACUAUGUGUCAGGUUUAAUUUGCUGACUGAAUAACUGUUAAGAGAAGGGCAACAGCAAAUAAACCACAAGUGAGACAGAAUAUUAAUUAUUUUCUCGCGAGGAGUGCAGUACAGAUGGCUUACAACAAUCUCACUACACUGAAUAUCUGUAUGCACUCCCGCUCUUUUUAUUUGGAUUUGCCCUACCCACAACGUGAGACAAAAGCCCCUAAAGGGAAGGGGGAAAGCACGUGGGCUUUGCCUUGUAAGCAAAAAUCACAAGGUGUUACAUACUAAUAAGAACAUGUGGGAAGAAGAGUUUGAGUGGACUGGAUAGAGAAGAGAAAGCCCUUGACCUCUAGUCAAAACAUAGCAGGGGAUGUUUUACGACAUUGUGUAGGAUGGGACAAGCUAGGUUAUUUAUUACUGGAUACGCACCAACAUAAGCAUAAAACUAAUCUAGCUAGGUUAUUUAUUACUGGUUACAUACAUUCCAACAUAAUCAUACGAUCAAGAUAGUUUGGAAAACCCUGACAAUGAUGGUCACUUGUAGGUUCAUUGGGGGUGCAAGACAGCGAUGAGGCAUGUUGUUUCUCAAAAUGGUCUUUGUUAAAAAGGAACUGUCUCGGUAGAUGUCUUCUUUUUGCUGAGUUGUCAGCUGCGUCCUGUCUGACCCAGCUGUAACCUCUCUCCUGACCCAGCCGUAACCUUUCUCUUCUGAGGUACAUCAUAAAAACAGCAAAGCCAAACAGCAAGCAUAUAUUGCAGUAAUAUUGCGGUAAAGCAUUGAUUAGAGAACGCAUGAUAACAUAUAUAUACAUUUUUGUAACACUAUGAAAAAAAAUGCGACUUACAGUCCAAAAAUUACGGUAUUUGUAUGAAAUGUUUGCAGUUAAAAAAUGUCCGAAAAAACUAUUGGCUCCCGGGCCCCUUCACUUUAUCAAAUCUGGCCCUCCUUGCAAAAGGUUUGGACACCCCUGAUGUAAGGAAACCAUGCUGCACUAUGUACCCGAGAUGAACCAAGUUAACAUACUGUACACUGCAUCCUUUUGGAUGAGGAGAAGGCUGAAACCCACGCAAGCACAGAAUGAACAUUCAAACCCUACAUAUGAACCAAGAUUCAACACAAUCAAGAAGGAAUCCCCCUUCUUUAAAGCAGCUGUGCUAAUUACUGUUCUGUCUGUGCAAAGAAAGUUUUCACACCAGUGAAGUGCAGUCCAAGCAGUAAGCUUUCAAGCUGUUCAAGACAUUAUGCUGGGAUUGGGCAAUGGGAGUGUUAAAACGUUGGAAAACAUAAUGGGUGUCUGUGUGUUUAAAUAAACAUAUAAGCUUUUUUUAAUUGAGAGAAGAAAAUUAUUAUUUAUUGUUACUCUUAUUAUUUAUUGUUUGUGCCUUCUUGUUUUUUAUAUUUCGUUGUUUACUUGUAUGUCUAUCGUGUAAUAUGUUUUGUCAUCGUGGAAUAGGGAAAACGUAAUCUCGAUCUCUUUGUGUGUCUCGGCAUGUGAAGAUGUUGACAAUAAAGCAGACUUUGACUUUGA